rfam:Schistosoma margrebowiei strain Zambia genome assembly, scaffold: SMRZ_contig0003128
AGCCUUCUGUAUCCGUCCUAAGACUUCGUCACACACCAGACCACAAGGGCUGAUGAGACUUCCAAGAUAAGUGAAGCG